rnacentral:rRNA from 1 species
UGCCAGACUCCUACGGGAGGCAGCAGUGGGGAAUAUUGCACAAUGGGGGAAACCCUGAUGCAGCGACGCCGCGUGAGCGAUGAAGUAUUUCGGUAUGUAAAGCUCUAUCAGCAGGGAAGAAAAUGACGGUACCUGACUAAGAAGCCCCGGCUAACUACGUGCCAGCAGCCGCGGUAAUACGUAGGGGGCAAGCGUUAUCCGGAUUUACUGGGUGUAAAGGGAGCGUAGACGGCUGUGCAAGCCAGAUGUGAAAGCCCGGGGCUCAACCCCGGGACUGCAUUUGGAACUGUGUGGCUGGAGUGUCGGAGAGGCAGGCGGAAUUCCUAGUGUAGCGGUGAAAUGCGUAGAUAUUAGGAGGAACACCAGUGGCGAAGGCGGCCUGCUGGACGAUGACUGACGUUGAGGCUCGAAAGCGUGGGGAGCAAACAGGAUUAGAUACCCUGGUAC